GAUGAACGCUGGCGGCGUGCCUAAUACAUGCAAGUCGAGCGAACGGACGAGAAGCUUGCUUCUCUGAUGUUAGCGGCGGACGGGUGAGUAACACGUGGAUAACCUACCUAUAAGACUGGGAUAACUUCGGGAAACCGGAGCUAAUACCGGAUAAUAUUUUGAACCGCAUGGUUCAAAAGUAAAAGACGGUCUUGCUGUCACUUAUAGAUGGAUCCGCGCUGCAUUAGCUAGUUGGUAAGGUAACGGCUUACCAAGGCAACGAUGCAUAGCCGACCUGAGAGGGUGAUCGGCCACACUGGAACUGAGACACGGUCCAGACUCCUACGGGAGGCAGCAGUAGGGAAUCUUCCGCAAUGGGCGAAAGCCUGACGGAGCAACGCCGCGUGAGUGAUGAAGGUCUUCGGAUCGUAAAACUCUGUUAUUAGGGAAGAACAUAUGUGUAAGUAACUGUGCACAUCUUGACGGUACCUAAUCAGAAAGCCACGGCUAACUACGUGCCAGCAGCCGCGGUAAUACGUAGGUGGCAAGCGUUAUCCGGAAUUAUUGGGCGUAAAGCGCGCGUAGGCGGUUUUUUAAGUCUGAUGUGAAAGCCCACGGCUCAACCGUGGAGGGUCAUUGGAAACUGGAAAACUUGAGUGCAGAAGAGGAAAGUGGAAUUCCAUGUGUAGCGGUGAAAUGCGCAGAGAUAUGGAGGAACACCAGUGGCGAAGGCGACUUUCUGGUCUGUAACUGACGCUGAUGUGCGAAAGCGUGGGGAUCAAACAGGAUUAGAUACCCUGGUAGUCCACGCCGUAAACGAUGAGUGCCAAGUGUUAGGGGGUUUCCGCCCCUUAGUGCUGCAGCUAACGCAUUAAGCACUCCGCCUGGGGAGUACGACCGCAAGGUUGAAACUCAAAGGAAUUGACGGGGACCCGCACAAGCGGUGGAGCAUGUGGUUUAAUUCGAAGCAACGCGAAGAACCUUACCAAAUCUUGACAUCCUUUAACAACUCUAGAGAUAGAGCCUUCCCCUUCGGGGGACAAAGUGACAGGUGGUGCAUGGUUGUCGUCAGCUCGUGUCGUGAGAUGUUGGGUUAAGUCCCGCAACGAGCGCAACCCUUAAGCUUAGUUGCCAUCAUUAAGUUGGGCACUCUAAGUUGACUGCCGGUGACAAACCGGAGGAAGGUGGGGAUGACGUCAAAUCAUCAUGCCCCUUAUGAUUUGGGCUACACACGUGCUACAAUGGACAAUACAAAGGGCAGCGAAACCGCGAGGUCAAGCAAAUCCCAUAAAGUUGUUCUCAGUUCGGAUUGUAGUCUGCAACUCGACUACAUGAAGCUGGAAUCGCUAGUAAUCGUAGAUCAGCAUGCUACGGUGAAUACGUUCCCGGGUCU
rnacentral:rRNA from 1 species